rnacentral:rRNA from 1 species
UACGAAGGGGGCUAGCGUUGCUCGGAAUCACUGGGCGUAAAGGGUGCGUAGGCGGGUCUUAAGUCAGGGGUGAAAUCCUGGAGCUCAACUCCAGAACUGCCUUUGAUACUGGGGAUCUUGAGUCCGGGAGAGGUGAGUGGAACUGCGAGUGUAGAGGUGAAAUUCGUAGAUAUUCGCAAGAACACCAGUGGCGAAGGCGGCUCACUGGCCCGGUACUGACGCUGAGGUGCGAAAGCGUGGGGAGCAAACAGG